CUUUCGGCCGACACCGAGAAUCUAUCAUCACCAAAAUCGCAUUUCAAUUCCACGGUGCCAUUGACAUAGCGUUCGCGACCCAAUAAGCGAAUGCGGGACAAAUCGAUUCUCUUUUAAACUUAAUCUGGAAUAAAUGUUGAACUUACGAGAUGGAACCAAAAAUAAUAUAUACCUACUUACAAAAGCUUCGCCAAGAAGAAUCAGUUGAAAAUAAAUCAAAAACUGCAGCAUUAUUUUAGGAAUAAAUCAGACACCUUUGGGCAGCGAACGAACUACAUUAAUGCUGGUUAUUUCCUUAACCCAUCGCAUUUUAUACAUUCCUACACUAAAAUAAAUUAUAAUCUAACAUGACAUACAUGUUUGGAAAGUAAUUUAAUGAUCGACAUUGUAAAUUGUGUAAAGUAACAAUUUUACAAGUAAUGUGAUACAUUGAUAUUGUAAUUAAAGCCAUCAUUACAAAAAAUAAAAACUUCACAUUAACAUGGCUAAAAUUGAAAGCUUA